rnacentral:misc_RNA from 1 species
CCUCCUUAUACGAUUUAGAACUUAUUUGUUCGUAGUGUCCACACAGAUGAUUGUUAGUUAGUUUUACCCUUUGGGUUUAACUGAUUAAUAUGCUCUUUAAAAAUUUGGAAAAGCUGAUAAUAAAAUUCGUAUGAAUAACAGUGUUAUUUGUACAGAGUUUUCAAAAGUAAAAAAGAAUGAUAGCAGUAUCAUUCAGUGCCAAUUUAAUCAUUCGUGAUUAAUUGGUAUCUACUUUAGUAUUCAAUAUUAACUUCUGGCGAAGUUAAACUGUCACAUAACAAAGACCCGUUUGGGUUGUAUGGUUAAGUGACUAAGCGUACACGGUGGAUGC